CUUUCCGGGGCUUACACAUGCAGUCGAACGGAAUCUUCGGAUUUAGUCGGCGGACGGGUGAGUAACGCGUGAGAAUCUAGCUCUAGGUCGGGGACAACCACUGGAAACGGUGGCUAAUACCGGAUGUGCCGAAAGGUGAAAGAUUUAUUGCCUAGAGAUGAGCUCGCGUCUGAUUAGCUAGUUGGUGUGGUAAGAGCGCACCAAGGCGACGAUCAGUAGCUGGUCUGAGAGGAUGAUCAGCCACACUGGGACUGAGACACGGCCCAGACUCCUACGGGAGGCAGCAGUGGGGAAUUUUCCGCAAUGGGCGAAAGCCUGACGGAGCAAUACCGCGUGAGGGAGGAAGGCUCUUGGGUUGUAAACCUCUUUUCUCAGGGAAUAAGAAAGUGAAGGUACCUGAGGAAUAAGCAUCGGCUAACUCCGUGCCAGCAGCCGCGGUAAUACGGAGGAUGCAAGCGUUAUCCGGAAUGAUUGGGCGUAAAGCGUCCGCAGGUGGCACUGUAAGUCUGCUGUUAAAGAGCAAGGCUCAACCUUGUAAAGGCAGUGGAAACUACAGAGCUAGAGUACGUUCGGGGCAGAGGGAAUUCCUGGUGUAGCGGUGAAAUGCGUAGAAAUA
rnacentral:rRNA from 1 species